ACGAUUGUCCCCGAGUUGUAACACAUACCGGAUGUUGCUAUUUUUAGAACCAGAAGGUAUUUCCCCGCUAUUCAUAGGUCAAUAAUGGAAUUUCUACAUCGUAGCAGUUGAAAACUCGGGUGAUGAUUUUAUCAUGAAUAUACGUUUAAAAUAAGUAAACACUCAAAGUGCACACUGACAGUUGAUUACGAUACACCUAACAAUUUGAGUCAUUACAGUAAAACAUGGAUUAUAAGUGAAUUAUACGCGUAAGAGAAGAUUUUCUGUCGAAAAAACGAAUGUCAACAAUCGGCAUGGAACUGGGAUAUUCGUAUCAAAGGGCUAUGUAUGUAGGAAAAUGACUGAAUAUUACUAAGUCAACAAAUUGGGGUUAUGAAGAAUUCCAGCCUGCAUUAAAUACUAUGUUAGAUCAUUGAGACAGAUUUGACAUCCAUGUCAUCCACAAGGCAGUCACAUCUGAUAGAGAUGAUAUGGGCAAAGAACCUGAAGGGGCAUAAAAACCAAAUCAGCAUUGACUCAGCAUUGAGUAUUUAUCAUCUGUGCACACACUACAAGUACAAACGCAUGGGAACAGACCAAACUUCAAAUGUUGAAGAGUGAAGACUUAUUGUGAAAAAUUCUAAAUGUAAGAAUACCAUUGACAAAAUAAAACAAAUAGACAUCGAUUACCUACAGAGACUGUUUACAUGUUAUAAUAUUAAAAAGACAAAUUAGUUGAGAACUUUCACUCUGACAUUUUUGGAGGGGCAUUACCACCUACAUGUACAUAGUGUUCUUGUUUCUUUUUUAAUUUGAAAGUACAUUCAUUGUUUUUAAAUCUGAAUUCUAAGUUAGUAUCAUAUGUAAAAUUCAUUUAUUUGAA